GAAAUGCGAUACUUGGUGUGAAUUGCAAAAUCAGUGAGUCAUCAAAACUUUGAACGCAUCUUGCACUUCCUUCGGGGAGUAUGUCUGUUGGAGUGUCUGUUCAUCCCCACCAUUCCCCUCUCCUCUAACCAGGAGAGGUGCAGAAUGCAGUCCGCCGCUUUCUUCGGAAAGCGCGUGCAGAUGAAAAAACAAUCUUAUAACCGAUCCUAUUCAGUGUAAUGCUGGGAGGACGCGAGAUGAUAUCAUAACGCGUUCAAAAGGCAAUACAUCAGCUGUCUAGAUAUUUGUUAUCUCAAUUAGGACCUCCAAUCAGUCAAGAAUACCCGCUGAAUUUAA
rnacentral:misc_RNA from 1 species